GCCAGGCGCGGUGGCCUGUGCCUGUAGUCCCAGCUACUCGGGUGGUGGAGGUGGGAGGAUGGCUUGAGUCCAGGAGUUCUGGGCUGUAGUGCACUAUGCGAUCAGGUGUCUGUACUAAGUUCAGCAUCAAUAUGGUGACCUCCCGGGAGCGGGGGACCACCAGGUUGCCUAAGGAGGGGUGAACCGGCCCAGGUCAGAAACGGAGCAGGUCAAAACUCCUGUGCUUAUCAGUAGUGGGAUCACGCCUGUGAAUAGCCACUGCACUCCAGCCUGGGUGACAUAGGGAGAACCUGUCUCAA
rnacentral:SRP_RNA from 1 species